AGGCCGCGGGCGGAGCCCGGUCGCCCCGGAGCUGGCCGUCCAGUUCCGGUCGGGCCGCGGCCCGGAGGCGAGGGGCUGUCUGCACACUGGCCGCGAGACAGCCCUAGAGAAACACGGGAUUGUCACUGUCGAUUCUAAAGCACGGGACUGCGAAAUCGGAGAGCUCCGCUUCCAAAGACGACGGCAAACUCACAGGGAGGGAGGACAGAAGGGGACGUUUUCAUCUCUGUCUUCCAUUGCUGUGAAUGUGGGUAAGGAUGAGAGGGUAACCGCUCAUGGCGGUGGAGAGUGCAGAAGUGUCUGGUCUGAGCCGAGCCCCUGCCUUGGUGGAUGGAAAAGGGGUCCCCUACUAAACCUCACAAGCUCAGGAGAGGCCAGCAUGGCGGUCCCUACAGACCAGAGACAAAGGAUGAAGGGAUGGGAGUACACAAGAGACAAGUCUCAGGACAGCCUCACAUCGCAGCUGUGGGCUGAGCUUAACGGGCAGACGGAGGGACACCAUGCGGUGCAUCAUCUUGCGAAUGCACAGCGUUCCGUGAAAAUGGAGGGGACCUGGCUGGUGGGGCCUCGCGUGCUGCGUGGCGGUGAUGAUGGGGUGCCUUUCUAAUGGCAGAAACUGCUAAACUAGUACAAGUGCAGUCGAGUUCAUUAUUAAGGUACUGCAAGCAAGUUUGCUUCCACCUCUCAUGUCAUGUCUCUCUUUAUCAAGAUGCCAUUAACCGCAUGCACCAGAAUUCAGGCCCAUCUGUGGCUUAAAUCUUCAAGGUAUUUAAUUAUCUCACAUAACAUGAAGUCCAGAUUACGCGGCCCACAACUGUUUCUCCUACUCGGUGAUGUCAAAGGACAUCAGCAUCUUAGCAAUUCUCUUAGCUUUUCCCUCCUGGUCUCAGGGCAACUGCAGCUUCUCCAGGCACCCGGUCCUGACCUCAUGGCCCUGUCGUGGGCCUGGGAGAGCCUUUGCACCUGGACAUCGUCUCCUUUGUGCUCUGCUGCCCUGACAAGGCUCAGGCCUGACGCACCAGCGUGCGUGGGGCUCUUUACACUGCCAUGGAGGCCUUCUGACGGGCAGGUGUCCACUUCAUGGAGGAGGUGGUGGGAUGCUGGGUCCGAGUGUGCCUGGUCCUAAGGUGAUCAUUGCCAAAACUGGCUGGUGAGCCCCUGGGGUUCAUUUGGUGCUCUCCUUUGGUGUGUUUGAGAUUUAUCAUUAAAAACAAAGACGCUAAAAUCCUUUCGCUGUUCUCAGUAUGUUGCACCCUCCCACUCACAGGAAACGUGUCAGACAUUGCCACCAUCUACCAAGUCUCUCAGCUGGGCUCCCAUAACAAGCCCCACAGAUGGGGUGGCCUGAACGGCGCCAGAUUUAUUUUCUCAUGGUUCUGGAGGCAGGAGUCCAAGAUCAAGGCCCCAGAAAGGUUGAUGUUUGGUGGAAGCUCUCCCUUUGGGUUGCAGAUGGCUGUGUCCUCACCUGGCCUUUUCACUGCACAGGUGUGGAAAGGCAGAAAUCUCUAGCAUCUCUUCCCUUUGAUUACCUCUCAUCACACUGGGGGUUAGGGAUUCAACCUGUGAAUUUUGGGGGGACAUUCAAUCCAUAGCACUCAACUACUUCCAGAACAAUAGAGUGUGCUGGGCACAUCACUGCCCAUUUGGAAUCCAUUUCCCAGCCCUCCUUGCAGUUUGACGUGGCCAGGUGACUUACCACCAAAGGAAUGUGAGCAGAAGUGGCAGGUGCUCCUUCAGACAGCAGACUGCACUGUUUUGUCUCAGCCUUGUCCAUGAAGACAAUGGUGAGCCCCUUUGGGAGCAGACAGCAUGCUGGAAGGAAUCUGUGUCCCUGAGUGAGCCCACGAGCAGGGAUGCCGCCCUUGGACUGUUACAUAUGUAAAAAAGCAAAAUUCUAUCUUUUCUAAACCACUGGAUUUGUUUGGGUUUCUGUUAAAGUAGCUUAGUCUUUUCCUAAAGCACUGUUUCUCAACUGAGGGACAUUUUGAUUGUCACAAUUGGGUGGGGAUGCUCAUAGCAUCGGGUAGGCAGCGGCCAGGGAUGCUGCUAGACAGCUUACAAGGCACAGGACAGACCCCCACAGCAAAGAGUAUCAAGCACAGAAUGUCAGCAGCAGUGAGGUCGAGAAAUCCUGUUGUAGAGCAUGUAGCUAUGACGAGACAGUAAGGGAGCCGCCUCUCAUUCAGGUAGCUUCUAAAACAGCGUCUCUGUAAGAGAAUUUGUCAGUUUUCUUAUGUGAGUGAAAGAUAAACAUGGGAGAAGUUAUUUUCAAUAUGACACACAAAGGGCAUGAUAUAUGAUUAUUCUCUAUAAGAAUUAUUUCUCUGUGGAUAAUGUAUAAAGGACAUAAAACGAUAGAACUACAAAUAGCCAACAAUAUGUUUAAACAUUGAACCUCACUUAAAUACAAGUUAAAACACUGAGAUUGGUUUUUGGGUUAUUUUUUCUCAUCAUGUUAGCAAUGAUCAAAAAGCCUGAUGAAAUCUAGGGUUAAAAGUGUAGAAACAUCCUUAGUGGAGCGUCAACUCAUUCAAAAGUAUCAGCAUUUAGAACACACACUGCUCUUCAAGCUAGCGAUGUCAUUUCUAAGACUAUUUCCUGAAGAACCACAACGUGGUAGGUUAAAGAUGGCUGUAAUUCUUGCCACUCCUCCCACAGAGAGAUGGGGUCUCUUUUCCCCUCCCCUCGAAUCAGUUAGCCCAAAAGUCUUGCUUGACUAAUAGAAUGUAGUGAGGUGAUGUCUUGAGAUAACCAAGAUGAAGUCACAAGGGUCUUGUAGCUUCCACCUAGGCCUCCCGAACAAUCUGGAAGCCCACAUCAGAAGUACUACCACCUGGGACUGCUGGGCUGGAGGCUACAGGUAGGCACUCUGACCCAAUAUACCCGCUGAAUGCAGCCUUCCAGCCACCGCAGUCAUCUCUAUGGUACCACAAAGAACAGAAGAGUCACCCAGCUGAGCCCUGCUGGAAUGCCUGACUCAUAAAAUUGCGAACUAUGAUAAAAUGGUUCUUUUAAAACACUGCGUUUUCAGGUCACUUAUAAUGCAGCAGUAUGCAACUGGGACACAUACCUACAGCUAUGUGAACCAGUGUUCACCAGAGCACUGUUCAUAAUAACACUGUGUGUCUGUAAGGAGUUGGUUAAAGUGUGGUACACCAGCAUAAUGAAUUUUAUCUAGUAAACGGGAUGAAGUAGAACUGAGCAAAACGUGGUGAGAAUUCAUAAAGCAUAUCAGGUGAAAGAUGUACAGAGUGGAAAUGUGAAUAGUGUGUGACUCACCAAUGUGAAAAAAAACCCAGCUCGACUGAAAAAUGGGUGAAAGAUCUGAAGGGACAGCUCAGCCAGGAAGACAUACACAUAUGCAUGUGAAAGGCGCUCAAUAUCCUGUCCUUAGGGAAGAGGAAAGAAAAUGAGACACCUCUACACACCUGUUGGACUGGCCACAGUCCAGAACGCUGACGGCACCAAACGCUGGCGAGGACGUGGAGCAGCAGUAACUCUCGCCCACUGCCGGUGGGGAUGGGCGAUGAUGCAGCCAUGCUGGAAGAUGGUGUGCCAUUUCUCACAGAACUGAAUGUAAUUGUACAGUACGACCCAGCAAUCACACUCCCUGGUAUUUAUCCACAGGGAUCGAAUACUAUGUUCAAAUAAAAACCUGUACACAAACGAAUAUAGCAGCUUUAUUCGCAAUUGACAAAACUUGGAAACAACCAAGAUGUCCUUCAGUAGGUGAAUAGAUAUACUGUGGUAUUACCAAUGAAAUAAUCAGCAUUGGAAGAAAGGAGCUAUCAAGCCAGGAAAAGACAAGGAGGAACCUAAAUGUAAAUUACUAAGUGAAAGGAGUCACUCUGAAAAGGAUACAUACUGUAUGUUUCCAACUAUAUGACAUCACAGAAAAGGCAAAACUAUAUAUACAGUAAAAAGAUGAGUGUUUGCCAAGAUUCAUAAGGGACACGGAGAGGGAUCAAUAGAUGGAGCACAGGGAAUUUUUAGGGCAGAGAAACUAUCCUGUGUGACACUGUAAUGGUGGGUACUUAGUAUGAUUGUACAGCAGAGAACCCUAAUGUAAUCUUUGGACUUGAGUUAACAACAAUGUAUCAAUAUUGUUUCAUCAAUAUUGUAAUAAAUAUACCACAGAAACAUAAAAUGUU